rnacentral:rRNA from 1 species
UACCCUUGACAUGUCUGGAAUCCCGAAGAGAUUUGGGAGUGCUCGCAAGAGAACCGGAACACAGGUGCUGCAUGGCUGUCGUCAGCUCGUGUCGUGAGAUGUUGGGUUAAGUCCCGCAACGAGCGCAACCCUUGUCAUUAGUUGCUACGAAAGGGCACUCUAAUGAGACUGCCGGUGACAAACCGGAGGAAGGUGGGGAUGACGUCAAGUCCUCAUGGCCCUUAUGGGUAGGGCUUCACACGUCAUACAAUGGUCGGGACAGAGGGUUGCCAAGCCGCGAGGUGGAGCCAAUCCCAGAAACCCGAUCGUAGUCCGGAUUGCAGUCUGCAACUCGACUGCAUGAAGUCGGAAUCGCUAGUAAUCGCGGAUCAGAAUGUCGCGGUGAAUACGUUCCCGGGUCUUGUACACACCGCCCGUCACACCAUGGGAGUGGGUUUCACCAGAAGUAGGUAGCCUAACCGUAAGGGGGGCGCUUACCACGGUGGGAUUCAUGACUGGGGUGAAGUCGUAACAAGGUAGGCGUAGUGCU